AGCAGCCGCGGUAAUUCCAGCUCCAAUAGCGUAUAUUAAAGUUGUUGCAGUUAAAAAGCUCGUAGUUGAAUUUCGGGAUCAAUUAGUCGGUCGUGCCUCUGGUACGUACUGGUUUUAUUGGUUCCUCCCUUCUGACGAAACAUGAUGUCAUUAAUUUGGUGUCGUGGAGAAUCAGGACUGUUACCUUGAAAAAUUAGAGUGUUUAUAGCAGGCUAACGCUUGAAUACAUUAGCAUGGAAUAAUGAAAUAGGACGUUCGACCCUAUUUUGUUGGUUUCUAGGAUCGACGUAAUGAUUAAUAGGGAUAGUUGGGGGCAUUAGUAUUCAAUUGUCAGAGGUGAAAUUCUUGGAUUUAUUGAAGACUAACUACUGCGAAAGCAUUUGCCAAGGAUGUUUUCAUUAAUCAAGAACGAAAGUUAGGGGACCGAAGACGAUCAGAUACCGUCGUAGUCUUAACCAUAAACUAUGCCGACUAGGGAUCGGAU
rnacentral:misc_RNA from 1 species